UAACAAGAAACAAUUUUAGCCAUCCCAUCAUCGAUGCCCCGGACUGAUUUGGUUUGGUGAUCGGUGAGAGUAUCAUUUUCUCAUGAUUGAUAAUUCUCUCUCUAAAACCCUUUCGCAUGAGACUCCUAAACUUCUGUUCCCUCUGAGUGAUAUAUACAUACACAACACAACUAUAUAUAUAUAUUCUGUGCGUUGGGGUCUCAAUGGCUUCAUUAUCAUCAUCAGUGGUCAGAGCUCAUAAUUCGAAGCACAUUCUCUCAUUCAUCGCACCUACCUACUCUUUCUGUCGAGGUUUGAGUUCGACUCACUUGCACUUGCUUCGCGGAAAUGCAAGUGCUUCUCAAUUCGCUCCAUGGUGGCGAUCCAUGGCCACAUUCACAAGAACAAAACCACAUGUAAAUGUGGGUACCAUUGGACAUGUUGAUCAUGGGAAAACUACUUUGACUGCUGCAAUCACAAAGGUGCUUGCGGAAGAAGGCAAAGCCAAGGCUGUUGCCUUUGAUGAGAUUGAUAAGGCUCCUGAAGAGAAGAAGAGGGGAAUUACUAUUGCUACGGCCCAUGUGGAGUACGAAACUACUAAGCGGCACUAUGCUCAUGUUGACUGCCCAGGACAUGCAGACUAUGUUAAAAACAUGAUUACUGGAGCUGCCCAAAUGGAUGGGGGCAUCCUGGUGGUAUCUGCUCCAGAUGGACCCAUGCCACAGACAAAGGAACAUAUUUUGCUUGCCCGCCAGGUUGGUGUACCAUCUUUGGUAUGCUUUCUUAAUAAAGUCGAUGCUGUUGAUGAUUCAGAGCUACUAGAACUUGUUGAGAUGGAACUCCGUGAGCUGCUCAACUUCUACAAAUUUCCUGGAGAUGAAAUCCCAAUUGUUCGGGGUUCAGCCUUGUCUGCCCUACAGGGGACAAAUGAUGAACUUGGGAAAAAGGCUAUUUUAAAACUAAUGGAUGCUGUGGAUGAAUAUAUAACUGAUCCUGUACGCCAGCUUGAUAAGCCGUUCUUAAUGCCAGUUGAAGAUGUUUUUUCAAUUCAGGGACGUGGGACUGUUGUUACUGGUCGUAUUGAACAGGGUACCAUCAAAGUUGGUGAGGAUAUUGAAAUUUUGGGAUUGAUGCAGGGUGGGCCCUUGAAGACUACAGUCACUGGUGUAGAGAUGUUUAAGAAAAGUUUGGAUCAUGGACAGGCUGGUGAUAAUGUGGGCCUUCUUUUGCGUGGCUUAAAGCGUGAUGAGGUACAACGAGGACAGGUAGUAGCAAAACCUGGAACCCUAAAAACUUAUAAGCGUUUUGAGGCAGAGAUUUAUGUUCUCACGAAAGAUGAAGGUGGCCGCCAUACUGCGUUUUUCUCAAAUUAUAUGCCUCAAUUCUACAUGAGGACUGCAGAUAUUACAGGGAAGGUGGAAUUGCCUGAAAAUGUUAAGAUGGUGAUGCCUGGUGACAAUGUGACUGCAGUUUUUGAGCUGAUUUCACCUGUUCCUGUUGAAGCAGGACAAAGAUUUGCUUUGAGAGAAGGAGGUAGGACGGUUGGUGCAGGAGUUGUCUCAAAAGUAAUUGACUAAAAUACUGCAACUGGUCCUGAACAAUAAAAUUCAUGCCUACUCAUUUGCAGAAAGAUGUUUAACAGAUGUCAGGCUACUCUUCAUAGAGAUGAGUGCAAUUUCUGGUGAUUAGUGAUGUUUACUUUAGUCACUGUUAGUGAGGUUAACGCAGAAGCAAUCUGGAGCCAAUACAGAAGCCUGCUGACAUGUUUUGCUGAGAAAACCCAUUGGGCAUAUGGCAACAGAGGAACAUCUGAAGCCAACCAUGUUCGAGUCGGCAUCUUUUUCUGAACACAGUUUUUGUGGCUUCCCAGAGCUUGAAACGCAGUUGCAGCUUCCGUUUGCUGUGGAGAAGGCAAUGGUGGACCGGCCACUGCCAUCUGCUGGACAGGAUGAUUACAUUCAUCAAAACAAACCCAGGCCAUUCCAGUACAAUCCUCCAUUGAGAGCCAAGACCCAUCGACCACGAUACGCCACUUCUGAGAAUCUGCUGUGAUUGAAACAGUGUGCUGCAAAAGAACUUGAUUAGAGAAGACAUUGUUAAUGUUAUAACAUGAGUGAGAGAGUGCCUGUGUGACUUGCUGCUGUGGUGAAAAAACCAAUGAAAAUAAAUCAUGAGCUAUGGCUAAGGUUCGUUCGAUGGUCAUGGCCAUAGUAUGGAAUUCAGUAGAAUUUCGUUGUAACCAGAUAGCCUAUAAAAUGGCAAUAGAUUGUAUUAAAAUCUCAGAGUCAUGAUUCUGCUGAUCCCAACCCUUGAACCACGUGAAGAAGGAAGUAGGAGUGCCAAUACUAAAGUCAAGCCCCAAUGCAGACCCACGCCCUACCCUCCGAGACACCUGACAAUCGAAAAAUAAAUGCUCAAGAGAUUCUUCAUACGCAAGACAUUACUUCUUGCUUUUUUUGACAUGUUUUAUUUUCUUUGAUGAAUUUUUUUUUUAUAAGAAAAUAUCUUGUAUUUAAUUAAGCCUUAAAAAUAAUGGUGCUUUUUGUACGAGGGUAGUGAUGGCAGUAAAAGGUGGUUAUAGGAA